GUGGGGAAUCUUGCGCAAUGGGCGAAAGCCUGAUCUAGCCAUGCCGCGUGUGUGAAGAAGGUCUUCGGAUUGUAAAGCACUUUAAGUUGGGAGGAAGGGAAGUAAGUUAAUACCUUGCUGUUUUGACGUUACCGACAGAAUAAGCACCGGCUAACUUCGUGCCAGCAGCCGCGGUAAUACGAAGGGUGCAAGCGUUAAUCGGAAUUACUGGGCGUAAAGCGCGCGUAGGUGGUUUUGUAAGUUGGAGGUGAAAUCCCCGGGCUCAACCUGGGAACUGCCUACAAAACUGCAUGACUAGAGUACGAUAGAGGGUAGUGGAAUUUCCUGUGUAGCGGUGAAAUGCGUAGAUAUAGGAAGGAACACCAGUGGCGAAGGCGACUACCUGGACUGAUACUGACACUGAGGUGCGAAAGCGUGGGGAGCAAACAGGAUUAGAUACCCCAGUAGUCC
rnacentral:rRNA from 1 species